AACUGAAGAGUUUGAUCAUGGCUCAGAUUGAACGCUGGCGGCAGGCUUAACACAUGCAAGUCGAGCGGGGGAAGGUAGCUUGCUACUGGACCUAGCGGCGGACGGGUGAGUAAUGCUUAGGAAUCUGCCUAUUAGUGGGGGACAACAUCUCGAAAGGGAUGCUAAUACCGCAUACGUCCUACGGGAGAAAGCAGGGGAUCUUCGGACCUUGCGCUAAUA
rnacentral:rRNA from 1 species